rnacentral:rRNA from 1 species
GCCAUGCAUGUGUAAGUAUAAGUAUUGUACAGACGAAACUGACGAAGUGGCUCAUUACAUCUAGUUAUAGUUUUAUUUGAUUAUUUAGAAAGUUACAUGGAUAACCGUGGCAAUUCUACAGCUAAUACAUGCUUCAAAACCUGACUUCGGAAGGGUUGUAUUUAUUAGAUAUUAAACCAUCCCCUCGGGGCUGUGAUGAAUCAUAAUAACUGAUCGAAUCGAGGUUCGCCUUGAUAAAUCAUUCAAGUUUCUGCCCUAUCAGCUGUAGAUGGUAGUGUAUUGGACUACCAUGGCUAUUACGGGUAACGGAGAAUUAGGGUUCGAUUCCGGAGAGGGAGCCUGAGAAACGGCUACCACAUCUACGGAUGGCAGCAGGCGACGAAAAUUGCCCAAUCCCGAUUCGGGGAGGCAGUGACAAGAAAUAACAACCCAGAACAUUGUUUCCGGGAUUGCAAUGAGAACAAUUUAAAAACCUUAUCGAGUACCAACUGGAGGG